AUUUUUUUAGAAUCUGCCCCCAGAGUUUUAAUGGUUCCAUUAUUUAUGUCCAGGUCACUAUGAUUGGCAAUCAAAUCACGUCGUUUAUUCUGGUUGGAGUCCACAAUCUCAUUUCUGCGUUUACCACCAAACCCCAAGAAUUUGUCAUUGUUCUCACCAUGAGCCCACCUGGACUGGACAUAAAACCCAAGAUAAGUCCAGAGAGUAAUCAGAAGCAACCAAUACACUAAGCGAUUGCUUCGAAACCACUGUAAAGAAGCGCUUCUAACUUCUCUUCGUGGAGUUCGGCUAGCAUUCAAUCUCCGAAAUGAAGGAGAAUUCUUUGGUGUCGAUCUUCCUGACAAUGAGG
rnacentral:lncRNA from 1 species